rnacentral:rRNA from 1 species
UACAGAGGUCCCGAGCGUUGUUCGGAUUCAUUGGGCGUAAAGGGGUGCGUAGGCGGCGGGGCAAGUCUGAUGUGAAAUCCCGGGGCUCAACCCCCGGAACUGCAUUGGAUACUGCUUUGCUAGAGUACUGGAGAGGGAACUGGAAUUUACGGUGUAGCAGUGAAAUGCGUAGAGAUCGAUAAGGAAGGCCAGUGGCGAAGGCGAGUUCCUGGACAGUUCCUGACGCUGAGGCACGAAGGCCAGGGGAGCAAACGGG